GACGAACGCUGGCGGCGUGCCUAAUACAUGCAAGUCGAACGAACGGAUAAAGAGCUUGCUCUUUUGAAGUUAGUGGCGGACGGGUGAGUAACACGUGGGUAACCUGCCUCACAGCUGGGGAUAACAUCGAGAAAUCGAUGCUAAUACCGAAUGUGCUGAACAUCAUAAGAUGUUCAAGUGAAAGACGGUUUCGGCUGUCACUGUGAGAUGGACCCGCGCUGGAUUAGCUAGUUGGUAAGGUAAUGGCUUACCAAGGCGACGAUCCAUAGCCGACCUGAGAGGGUGAUCGGCCACAUUGGGACUGAGACACGGCCCAAACUCCUACGGGAGGCAGCAGUAGGGAAUCUUCGGCAAUGGACGAAAGUCUGACCGAGCAACGCCGCGUGAGCGAAGAAGGCCUUCGGGUCGUAAAGCUCUGUUGUUAGAGAAGAACAUGGGUGAGAGUAACUGUUCACCCCUUGACGGUAUCUAACCAGAAAGCCACGGCUAACUACGUG
rnacentral:rRNA from 1 species